rnacentral:rRNA from 1 species
UAAUACGUAGGGGGCUAGCGUUGUCCGGAUUUAUUGGGCGUAAAGAGCGUGUAGGCGGCCAGGUAGGUCCGUUGUGAAAACUCGAGGCUUAACCUCGAGAUGCCGACGGAAACCAUCUGGCUAGAGUCCGGAAGAGGAGAGUGGAAUUCCCGGUGUAGCGGUGAAAUGCGCAGAUAUCGGGAAGAACACCUAUGGCGAAGGCAGCUCUCUGGGACGGUACUGACGCUGAGACGCGAAAGCGUGGGGAGCGAACAGGAUUAGAUACCCUGGUAGUCCACGCCGUAAACGAUGGGUGCUAGGUGUGGGAGGUGUCGACUCCUUCCGUGCCGAAGCUAACGCAUUAAGCACCCCGCCUGGGGAGUACGGCCGCAAGGCUA